CGUGUAGGCGGCCUAAUAAGUUAGAAGUGAAACCUAUCGGCUCAACUGAUAGCCUGCUUCUAAAACUGCUAAGCUUGAGUGCAGAAGAGGGGGAGUGGAAUUCCCAGUGUAGCGGUGAAAUGCGUAGAUAUUGGGAGGAACACCAGUGGCGAAAGCGGCUCCCUGGUCUGUAACUGACGCUGAGGCGCGAAAGCGUGGGUAGCAAACA
rnacentral:rRNA from 1 species